UAGAUGAAAACCAAAAUUUCGGUGUUUAAUUGUUAAUUAAAAUAUUAUAAAAUAAAAAUUUAUUCAUUUAA
rnacentral:tRNA from 1 species